rnacentral:rRNA from 1 species
UGGUGGGUAGUUUGACUGGGGCGGUCUCCUCCUAAAGAGUAACGGAGGAGCACGAAGGUUGGCUAAUCCUGGUCGGACAUCAGGAGGUUAGUGCAAUGGCAUAAGCCAGCUUGACUGCGAGCGUGACGGCGCGAGCAGGUGCGAAAGCAGGUCAUAGUGAUCCGGUGGUUCUGAAUGGAAGGGCCAUCGCUCAACGGAUAAAAGGUACUCCGGGGAUAACAGGCUGAUACCGCCCAAGAGUUCAUAUCGACGGCGGUGUUUGGCACCUCGAUGUCGGCUCAUCACAUCCUGGGGCUGAAGUAGGUCCCAAGGGUAUGGCUGUUCGCCAUUUAAAGUGGUACGCGAGCUGGGUUUAGAACGUCGUGAGACAGUUCGGUCCCUAUCUGCCGUGGGCGCUGGAGAACUGAGGGGGGCUGCUCCUAGUACGAGAGGACCGGAGUGGACGCAUCACUGGUGUUCGGGUUGUCAUGCCAAUGGCACUGCCCGGUAGCUAAAUGCGGAAGAGAUAAGUGCUGAAAGCAUCUAAGCACGAAACUUGCCCCGAGAUGAGUUCUCCCUGACUCCUUGAGAGUCCUGAAGGAACGUUGAAGACGACGACGU